rnacentral:rRNA from 1 species
ACUCCGGGGAUAACAGGCUGAUACCGCCCAAGAGUUCAUAUCGACGGCGGUGUUUGGCACCUCGAUGUCGGCUCAUCACAUCCUGGGGCUGAAGUAGGUCCCAAGGGUAUGGCUGUUCGCCAUUUAAAGUGGUACGCGAGCUGGGUUUAGAACGUCGUGAGACAGUUCGGUCCCUAUCUGCCGUGGGCGCUGGAGAACUGAGGGGGGGCUGCUCCUAGUACGAGAGGACCGGAGUGGACGCAUCACUGGUGUUCGGGUUGUCAUGCCAAUGGCACUGCCCGGUAGCUAAAUGCGGAAGAGAUAAGUGCUGAAAGCAUCUAAGCACGAAACUUGCCCCGAGAUGAGUUCUCCCUGAGACUUAGAGUCUCCUGAAGGAACGUUGAAGACGACGACGUUGAUAGGCCGGGUGUGUAAGCGCAGCGAUGCGUUGAGCUAACCGGUACUAAUGAACCGUGAGGCUUAACCUUACAACGCCGAAG